AUGAGCACGGACUACUCCCUCCCCCCUUUUGAUCCCAGCAAUCCAGUUGGUAUGGAGGUCUUAGUCCCAAAGACCGGUUUCUUUUGUACGGUAUGUAAUCGAUUCUUCAGCGGAACCAGAGAAGCUGAGAUCAACCACUGCAGAACCAUCAAACACUACGAGAACCUAAAGAAAUACCUGCAGACUGAGAAGACGGUGAAUGUGACGGACAAACCAGACCCCAGCUG